UACGGGGGGGGCAAGCGUUGUUCGGAAUUACUGGGCGUAAAGGGCUCGUAGGCGGCCAACUAAGUCAGACGUGAAAUCCCUCGGCUUAACCGGGGAACUGCGUCUGAUACUGGAUGGCUUGAGUUUGGGAGAGGGAUGCGGAAUUCCAGGUGUAGCGGUGAAAUGCGUAGAUAUCUGGAGGAAUACCGGUGGCGAAGGCGGCAUCCUGGACCAUUACUGACGCUUAAGCGCGAAAGCUAGGGGAGCAAACGGG
rnacentral:rRNA from 1 species